GACGAACGCUGGCGGCGUGCUUAACACAUGCAAGUCGAACGGAAAGGCCCUGCUUUUGUGGGGUGCUCGAGUGGCGAAGGGGGGAGUAACACGUGAGUAACCUCCCCUUGACUUUGGGAUAACUUCAGGAAACUGGGGAGAAUACCGGAUAGGAGCUACUGCUGCAUGGGGGGGGAUGGAAAGUUUCGGCGGUGGGGGAAGGACUCGCGGCUUAUCAGCUUGUUGGGGGGGUAGUGGCGUACCAAGGCUUUGACGGGUAGCCGGCCUGAGAGGGUGACCGGCCACAUUGGGCCUGCGAUACGGCCCAGACUCCUACGGGAGGCAGCAGUGGGGAAUAUUGCACAACGGGCGGAAGCCUGAUGCGGCAACGCCGCGUGCGGGAUGACGGCCUUCGGGUUGUAAACCGCUUUCGCCUGUGACGAAGCGUUCGUGACGGUAAUGGGUAAAGAAGCACCGGCUAACUACGUG
rnacentral:rRNA from 1 species